AUUCGAGAUUUCUGCUGUGUUAUUUCGUGACGAAUUUAACAGGGCCUUAGGGAUCCCAGGAGUGUUAUUUUUUGAAGGUUUUAAAAGAAUCUUAGGGGUCCCUGGCGUGUUAUUUUCUGAAGAAUUUACAAGAAAGUUAGGGAUCUCUAGUGUUGUGUUAUUUUUUGAAGAAUCUAAAAGAAAAUUAGAGAUUUCUCUUGUUAUUUUCUGAACAAUUUAAUAGUCUUAGGGAUCCCUGGGAUGUUGUUUGAUGAGGGUUUUUAAAAAAUAUUAGGAGGUCCUGAUAUGUUAUUUUCUGAAGAAUUUAACAGAGCCUUAGGGAUCCCAGGAGUGUUAUUUUUUUAAGGUUUUAAACGAAUCCUAGGGGUCCCUGGCGUGUUAUUUUCUGAAGAAUUUACAAGAAAGUUAGGGAUCUCUAGUGUGUUAUUUUUUGAAGAAUCUAAAAGAAAAUUAGAGAUUUCUCUUGUUAUUUUCUGAACAAUUUAAUAGUCUUAGGGAUCCCUGGGAUGUUGUUUGAUGAGGGUUUUUAAAAAAUAUUAGGAGGUCCUGAUAUGUUAUUUUCUGAAGAAUUUAACAGAGCCUUAGGGAUCCCAGGAGUGUUAUUUUUUUAAGGUUUUAAACGAAUCCUCGGGGUCCCUGGCGUGUUAUUUUCUGAAGAAUUUACAAGAAAGUUAGGGAUCUCUAGUGUGUUAUUUUUUGAAGAAUCUAAAAGAAAAUUAGAGAUUUCUGUUGUUAUUUUCUGAACAAUUUAACAGAGCCUUAAGGAUCCAUGCUGCCUUGUUUUUUGAAGAUUUUAAAAGAACGUCAG